UUUUUUUUUUGUUAGGAGUGUUUGUAUAAAAAUAGAAAUCUAGUAAGAGUGGCGGCAAUAGAAACCAAGAAGUCACAGUGGCUUUGUGGCACCUCCAGGUGUGGGGGUACCAGGGAGAUUGGGAAGCACUUCUGGGAAACACUCAAGCAAGUGUUCACAUGGCCAACUAUUUUUUAAGAUGAGAGGACAGAGAAGAUGUUCUGUAGUUAAGACUGUAGUUAGUAUAGCCUGCUGUUUGCUUCCCCAGAUGGUCCAGGAGAACUCAUGUGCUCAUCUGUAGCCAUUUGUAGAACUAGCUUCAGGAUCACUGACAAGCCUCCACUGAGUGUCAGCUACAGAAAAUAUCUGUCCUAAGCCAGAAUAUUACCAGGGUACAAUGAUUUCUAGCCUUGAGAGACUAUAAAAGAAGUUGAGGAGAUAAAGAUUUAAAAAGCAUAAAUACUAAGUAGUGUGAGUUAAUUCAUAGUAUAGAUCAGCAGUCACUAAUUUUUUUAAAGGAUAAGAUGCUAAAUAUUUUCAGCUUUGUGGGCCACAUGGUCUCUACUGAACUCUGUUGUAGACAGUUAUGUAAAUGAAUGAGUGUGCUGUGUUCCAACAAAACUUUAUUUAUGAAUACUGGAAUUUGAAAUUCAUGUAAUGUUCAUGUGCCAUGACAUAUUAAUCUUCAUUUGAUGCUUUUCAACAAUUUAAAAUUUAAAACCUAUUUUAGCUAGCAUACUGUACAAAACAGCAUGGACCACAUUUGGUCUGUGAGCUGUGAUUUGCUGCACCAUGGUAUAGAUGAUAAGUGCUCUGGUUUGUUGGGAUAUGAGGAUGUGUUAUAUUCAUUGUGGAUGACAUCUCUCAUAGGUAAGUCAAAUAUAUAAGGCUUUAUGCUUGAUUUUUGAGAUAAAUAGGUUUAGUCUCCAUUAUUUUGUAGUUGACUAAUCAGUUAUUUAAUUAUUUCCAGUGGGGACAUGCCUGUUUGGGGCUAGAAUUUAGAGGUAUUCAUGUAUGCCACUGGGCGGUGGUUUCGAUGGUACAGCAUAGGGGUUGCAUAUUGGACAGCAGUAAUGGGAACCAGGUAUCUUUGACUGUUGGGUGAAGUGGGACAUGCCUCAGGAAAGAAGGGCCUUAGAUGUUCUUGAGCAGAAGGAUAAUCUGAUCAGAACUGUGCUUCAUGUGGUUUAGAGUUUAGACCAGAAAGAUGAAAGGAGAGCAGGGUAAGGGAACUAACACUGGGCUUCUUUCUCUUCUCUAGAGGUUUGUUCAUUCAAUCAUUUCUCCCUUGGGGGGAAUGAAGGGGAAGGCUGGUUUGUGAAGUAUUGCUUGAAGGUGAAGAGAGGGAAAAGUGCUUCAGAUUGAAUGUGAAAAAUAAAGAAAAGAAUCAAAGAUAAUUCAAAGCUUCCAAGCUCAGGUGACUAGACGAGUGGUAAGAGGGAGUCAGAAGAAGUUGGUUUUUGGAGAGAAGUUUGGGCUUAGACACUGCACUCACCAGGUAAGUCAGCAAAUGCCCACAGAUUCAAGUUCCAAGAGAUUCAGCUGAAGAUUCAUUGCUCUUUUAGUGAAUACUGCCCAAAGAGGACUUUAAAAAUGUUACUAUGUGCCUUAAAUUAUUAACAGUUGCUUGUAUUGUGCUUUGUCAUUGACAACUGUGGGUGGGGAGGGUUGGUUACAUUUAGUGGAUCAGUAAAAAUGUUUGGAGAGCUACAAAAUUUUAAGGCAUUAUGGAAAAUGAAUACACACAGAAAUUGUCAUACUCGAUUUAGUAGUCCCAGAAAUUGGAUGUAUUACAAGCAGUAAUUGUUUUAGUUCAGAUUUAAAUAUGUCAAAUCAAUAUGUUUAACACCUUUAACAUAUGCCUCAAACAUAUUCUGCUUUUUAUUCCCCUAACAUUUGGUUUAUGAAUAGAAAACAAAGAAGUUAGGGAUUUUAUUCACAGAGGCCUCAUUGCUUUAGCUUAGUGAUUUGUAGCACUUAUUCUUUUUCAUUAGAAAAUCUUCAAAAGCACAGUUUCUUUCUGUUUUUGAUGGAUCCAUUGCAUUUCCAAGUUCCUUGUGUGGUUACCUAGAUGUUGUCACUGUUCUACCAGUCUUCCCUCUGAGUGGCUCAGUUAUUCUGUCUGCUCUGAUUAUUAAUCUGCCACCAUGGCCACAUUUCUAAUUUAGAGAAUUAGUGGCAAUUUCUUGCGAUGCUCAUCUUAAGUGGCGCCCGUGGAUCCUGAGGAAGACUGGCUUUGAAGCACAGUUCCUGACAGUUUAACAUUUCCCAAGUAGGGAAGAACUCCCACUACCCUCCUGAGGAGAGGGAGUGCAUGUAGUGCAUGUAGAAUGAAGAAUGAGGCACACCCCAGCUCUGUUUUGCUGUGUAAAAGCAAGGAGAGGAGUUUGUACCUCUCCUCCUUUCUUCCUUUUUCUCUCCUUCUUCCUUCCUUCUCUAUUUCCUGCCUUCCUUUCUCCUUUCCACUAAAGCAGUCACUCCAGUCAGGCUGAAAUGAGGAAGGCAGAAGUCAUUUUAAAUGCUCCAAGUGGGAAAGAUUUUAACAGAGGAAAACAGAGGCCUUCACAAUUGUUGGAUAGGCUGGUGGCAUAAAAGUCAGGGAAGCCCCUGCCACUGGGACCUACACCAAAGGAGAAGACUUCCAAGCAGAUUCUUUAGCUUCUCCUUUUUAGUUUGCCAGGAUAUAUGCAAAUCACUCUCACUGGGAGAUUUGUAGCCAAGACAAAGGAAUUCUGGGAAAGGUAGUUCUCCUCUCUCUUAGCCUUGCCCCCAUGAUACAGUGGGUAAAACAGAUUGAGGUGACAGUAACAUCAAGUUGACAACACUGUGAUGCAUUUGUUGAGCCUUUAUCAAGUCAGACAAAGAUGAGUGUGGUGAUUUCUCAGCAUCCCCACAGCCUGGUUAAGUUGACUGAUGUUAGUUUUCUUAAGACAGUAAAUUUUGCUGAGUGGCUGUGCCAGGACAAGUCCUCCCAGGAAAGCUCUGUUACAAAGUGGAUUCUAAUCACCAGGGUCAUUUACAUCAGAGCUCAUCUUGGGUCCAAAUGCUAACAGCUGCUUACAGUGAGAGCACGACACACAGCAAUUACCAGAGACAGAAACAUUGUUCCCCAACAUAAGUAGUAUAAUGCCACUAAAUUCCCAAGGUGCUUUUCAAAAUAUUAAUAUGCUUGUUAAAUUCUUUUCAGAUAGUUUUUCACCAUAAUUUAAAAUUACGUAUCCCUCUUGACUGGGCGAAACCUCCCAUAUAAAAGAGGGUAAGAUGUUACAUGAAGGUAACUAUAAAACCUCAGAGCAGCUUUUGCUCAUUUUAACACCACAUAUCAUUACAUUACGGAGAAGAUUUCAAGGAGAUUUAGUGCCUAUAAAUUACUGAGGAUUUGGUGAAACUGGUGUCUCUAGUCUUAGUCCUGUCAAAUAUGGACUACCCUGCCACAGGGCCAUGUGAUAUUUUGAGAGAUGGGCAUCAUGUGAAAUGAGAAAUUAGCUGUGUAAAUUACGUAUUCUUUGUUCCAGACUUACUUUCCUCAAUAAGACUCCCCUGAAUCAUAGCAGACAGAGAAUUAAGUAGUGGAAAAUUUUAUUUAAAUGUGCUUGUGGAAGCAAUGCAUGAGCAAACCUGGGUCCCAGCUCCCAUAAUGGCUCCUGUUGUCCACAUGCAGGAUAAAAUCAGCCCCACAUCAUAGCUCCAGUCUGGGCCCUUCAGCCUCUGCAGCCUUAAAGCUCUGGGCUUCCUUAUGUUGGCCUUCUUUUCCUAGGGCUUCCUUAAGUUUGUCUUGUCAUUUCACACCUGUAUCUUUGGAAGUAUGGUUUGCUCAGAUUGAAACCCUAUCAUCCUCCCCUUCCUCUACACUGGCACCAAAAUCAGCCUGAUUUCUAUUCACUUUUUAGUUCUCUGAGCUCUGCCAAGCUCUGUGUCCUCUGUAUUUUCAUUGCUUAGCUAUUAUUUCUGCUUAAAUUUUUAUUUUGAUGACUCAAUUGCUUUUAAGUUUUCUGCAUCAGACUAAAAGCUCCUCAAAGACAGAGACUCUUCUUAUGCAACUUGGCAUCUUUAGAGCUAAGUAGAACUCCCCAUACAUAGUAAAGGCUCAUUAGCUGAUAAAUGAGUGAAUGAACUAAGCCUGGGAGCAGGUAACUUCUAAUCACAAUGAUAAAAUGAAUAAAACAGAACUAACUUUGAUUCCCAUUUAAUUAUUUUAUAACUACAACAGUAUUAUAACUUUUUAAAAUCAUAAUUCUACAAAAGGAAGCAAUUAUAGAUCUUUCAUAAUGUUUUGCCCAGCACCUAGUAUUCUACCAGGGCCUUCUGCACAAUAUGUAAUGCCUAUAAUAAUGAACCAAGCUGGCUAAUAUAUAUUUUUUUCCUUCUAAUUAAUUCGCUCUCCCUAGUUUACCUUGCAAAUGCAGCUGCUGGGAGAAGCUCUGAUGGUUAUGGGGUUAAAGAGGAAAUGGUCAUAAUUUUUAUUUAGUGUUUUCCAUAUAAAUGCACCUCAUUAUCUGCUGUACCUCAUUAUAUAUGAUCUAUUUUAUGACCAUUUAGUUCUCCUUAGCAGUCCUGUUUUUAUUCUGUUAUGCUUGCUGUCUAAACUCUCAACUUUAUGACUCCAUUACCCUGGCUCACUGCUGCCUGCUAUCCCACUCCCACUGCAGAGGUGGAUAAUGUAGCUUUGCUGUUGCCAGGCCAGCGUUUCUAAUAAAUUCCUCGCAAACAGACAGGCAGUGGAAGAGGGCCCAGCGGCUCAGUGUCAUGCUUUCAUAUCACAUCACUAGGCUCUCAUUAGAUACUUUCCAAUCCUUGCUUUUUAUUUUCUCAUAUGCUUCCCCCCCCCACCCCCGCUGACUUGCUUAAUCCUUACUGAGAAAUGUCAAUGUAAUUAACUUAAGUUAUAAUUAUUUGAAAGUGGACUUUGUUAUAAUGCCUUUUAUCAUUUUCCACUUCUCCCCCCUACCAAACUGCAAGUACAUGAGAGCUCUGCUGUGUAAAUAGAGUGGUGGAGUGGGGAGAAAUUGGCUCUUAUAACCUUGACAAUUCAUCCACUUCUUACACCUCCAUAAUUAAGGAUACUGAUGACAUUGCCACUUACAACUUUAUGUCUUGAAAUUUUAUUCAGUAAGGUAUUUUCAAGGAAGUUAAAUAGAUUCUGGGCAAAUUCCUUUUUACCAAUCUUAAAAUGGUAGAAUAAACUUGUAAGGUACCAAACUUAAAAUAAUAGAUGCUAUGCUGUACUUUAUUUGUAACAGAGUCCAUUCACACAUAUCAUCCCCUUUAAUCUUCACAGUGGCUUGGAGUGAUGAGUGGAAUUGUCAUUUUAGAGUAAAGGACUUAAAACAAUGGGUGGUUAAGUGAUUGCCUUGUUCAAGACUUUAUAGUUUUUAACAAUGAUCCCAAAAUUUGGACUUUUUUCAAUCAUUAGUUCAUUCAACUAAUCAAUAAUUAUUGUGACUAAACAUGUGCCAAGCAGCGUGCCUGGUACUGAAGAAGUUGAUGAAUGAGUAGUCAUUCCAGAACUACGCGGUGUGGCUUGGAGAGACCUAAACAAAGCAGACAGAGGGGUGAUUGGAGGCAGAUAACUAGGGCACGGCAGGUGGUGGUACAGGAGAGCCAGAGGAGUCUCAGGAGUUUGGCAUAUAUUCUGAAGUGAAAAGGAAUCAGUGAAGGAUUUUCUUCU
rnacentral:lncRNA from 1 species